GACAGAGGGGGCAAGCGUUGCUCGGAAUCACUGGGCGUAAAGGGCGCGUAGGCGGGAUGGCAAGUCGGUCGUGAAAUCCCUGGGCUCAACUCAGGGGGGUCGGCCGAUACUGCCGUUCUUGAGGGAUGCAGAGGAGACUGGAAUUCCCGGUGUAGCGGUGAAAUGUGUAGAUAUCGAGAGGAACACCUGCGGCGAAGGCGGGUUGCUGGGCUGACACUGACGCUGAACUGCGAAAGCUAGGGGAGCGAACGGG
rnacentral:rRNA from 1 species